rnacentral:rRNA from 1 species
ACACUCCUACGGGAGGCAGCAGUGGGGAAUUUUGGACAAUGGGGGCAACCCUGAUCCAGCAAUGCCGCGUGAGUGAAGAAGGCCUUCGGGUUGUAAAGCUCUUUUGUCAGGGAAGAAACGGUGGUGGCGAAUAACUACUACUAAUGACGGUACCUGAAGAAUAAGCACCGGCUAACUACGUGCCAGCAGCCGCGGUAAUACGUAGGGUGCAAGCGUUAAUCGGAAUUACUGGGCGUAAAGCGUGCGCAGGCGGUUGUGUAAGUCAGAUGUGAAAUCCCCGGGCUCAACCUGGGAAUUGCAUUUGAGACUGCACGGCUAGAGUGUGUCAGAGGGGGGUAGAAGUCCACGUGUAGCAGUGAAAUGCGUAGAUAUGUGGAGGAAUACCGAUGGCGAAGGCAGCCCCCUGGGAUAACACUGACGCUCAUGCACGAAAGCGUGGGGAGCAAACAGGAUUAGAUACCCCAGUAGUCCCAUG